rnacentral:rRNA from 1 species
UACGGGGGGAGCAAGCGUUGUUCGGAUUUACUGGGCGUAAAGGGCGGGUAGGCGGCCACCGCAAGUCGACUGUGAAAUCUCCGGGCUUAACCCGGAAAGGUCAACCGAUACUGCGGGGCUAGAGUGCAGAAGGGGCAACUGGAAUUCUCGGUGUAGCGGUGAAAUGCGUAGAUAUCGAGAGGAACACCUGCGGCGAAGGCGGGUUGCUGGGCUGACACUGACGCUGAACUGCGAAAGCUAGGGGAGCGAACGGG